GUAGGUGGCAAGCGUUGUCCGGAAUUAUUGGGGCGUAAAGCGCGCGCAGGCGGUUCUUUAAGUCUGAUGUGAAAGCCCACGGGCUCAACCGUGGAGGGUCAUUGGAAACUGGAGAACUUGAGUACAGAAGAGGAAAGCGGAAUUCCACGUGUAGCGGUGAAAUGCGUAGAGAUGUGGAGGAACGCCAGUGGCGAAGGCGGCUUUCUGGUCUGUAACUGACGCUGAGGCGCGAAAGCGUGGGGAGCAAACAGGAUUAGAUACCCUGGUAGUCCACGCCGUAAACGAUGAGUGCUAAGUGUUAGGGGGUUUCCGCCCCUUAGUGCUGCAGCUAACGCAUUAAGCACUCCGCCUGGGGAGUACGGCCGCAAAGGCUG
rnacentral:rRNA from 1 species